rnacentral:rRNA from 1 species
CCCUUAGAUGUUCUGGGCCGCACGCGUGCUACACUGAUGCAUUCAACGAGUCUAAAACCUGGUCUGAUAGGGCUGGGUAAUCUUUUGAAAGUGCAUCGUGAUUGGGAUAGAUGAUUGCAAUUCUUCAUCUUCAACGAGGAAUGCCUAGUAAACGCAAGUCAUCAGCUUGCAUUGAUUACGUCCCUGCCCUUUGUACACACCGCCCGUCGCUCCUACCGAUUGAAUGGUCCGGUGAAGCCUCGGGAUUGUGGUUCUUGCCGCUUUAUUGUGGCGUGACCGCGAGAACUUGUCUAAACCUUAUCAUCUAGAGGAAGGUGAAGUCGUAACA